rnacentral:snoRNA from 10 species
GCGGUUGAUGAUCAAUAUCCUCGGCGCCCAACAGUGAGGUCCUUAUUUACUCUCGCUCUGCCUGCAAAGGUGGCGGUCGCUUCACGGCGAUUGUAUAGAGAGUGGCGAUGAUCUGUACCCCGAUUUCCAGAGGUCUGCCUUCGGGCGCUUUGGCGGGGUGGGUGUCGAUGGAAGUCUGACGC